rnacentral:rRNA from 1 species
UACGUAGGGGGCAAGCGUUGUCCGGAAUCAUUGGGCGUAAAGCGCGUGUAGGCGGCUCGGUAAGUCCGCUCUGAAAGUCCAGGGCUCAACCCUGGGAUGCGGGUGGAUACUGUCGGGCUCGAGUCCGGAAGAGGCGAGUGGAAUUCCUGGUGUAGCGGUGAAAUGCGCAGAUAUCAGGAGGAACACCAGUGGCGAAGGCG